AUUGAACGCUAGCGGGAUGCCUUACACAUGCAAGUCGAACGGAGUGGCGAACGGGUGAGUAAUGUAUCGGAACGUGCCCAGUAGUGGGGGAUAACUACGCGAAAGCGUAGCUAAUACCGCUUACUAUUGGAGCGGCCUAUAUCGGAUUAGCGAGUUGGUGGGGUAACGGCUCACCAAGGCGACGAUCCGUAGCUGGUUUGAGAGGACGAGCAGCCACACUGGGACUGAGACACGGCCCAGACUCCUACGGGAGGCAGCAGUGGGGAAUGUUGGACAAUGGGGGAAAGCCUGAUCCAGCCAUCCCGCGUGUGCGAUGAAGGCCUUCGGGUUGUAAAGCACUUUAGGUAGGGAAGCGGUACCUGCAGAAUAAGCACCGGCUAACUACGUGCCAGCAGCCGCGGUAAUUC
rnacentral:rRNA from 1 species